CAGUAGCCGCGGGAAUACGUAGGGUGCAAGCGUUAAUCGGAAUUACUGGGCGUAAAGCGUGCGCAGGCGGUUUUGUAAGACAGAGGUGAAAUCCCCGGGCUCAACCUGGGAACUGCCUUUGUGACUGCAAGGCUAGAGUACGGCAGAGGGGGAUGGAAUUCCGCGUGUAGCAGUGAAAUGCGUAGAUAUGCGGAGGAACACCGAUGGCGAAGGCAAUCCCCUGGGCCUGUACUGACGAUCAUGCACGAAAGCGUGGGGAGCAAACAGGAUUAGAUACCCGUGUAGUCCCUGUCUCUUAUAC
rnacentral:rRNA from 1 species